CUGACGUGACAUUUGCAAAAUAAAAAUCCAUUUUGAAGACAAACAUAACACACCGGUCACAACUCUCCCACGACUUCUCUCUCCGGAAAGGUGAAAAACCCCUAAAAUUGAACUUACGUCUCUAGUGUCGCCACAUCGUACUUCGCCGACGAUGUCUUCGUCUCCGACCAACCAUCGUUUGCCGCCGCAAAAAGAAGGGGCCAAGAUCCGUUCAGAAUUGUUCAUCCUUCGAAGAACUUUCCAUUAAGCAUUUACAGGCCAUCAAUGAUGGCUUUGGAGCUGAGCCGAUUGGCCCUAGGCCUGCAAUAUCCUCACUUAAGUGAAUUACCCUUAAGGAGCUUUAUAACGGACAGUGUUUUGGGCUCUUGAUGAUUGGCUCAAAAAACUUGAAGACUUUGGAGUUUCUCAAGUGUUUUAGGGGAUCGGGAUAGUUUGUUGGAGAAUAUUGCUCGGAGAAAAUUUUGUUUAACAGAGAUUCAUUAAGAGAGGUUGCAGGUGAGUGAUAUUGGGCUAAUGGGAAUAUCGAAGAGCCCAAACUUGGAGAAUCUUUCACUUAGUAAAAGUUCUAGUUGCUCAAAUGAGGGGAUUUGUGCAGUUUGCUGAGAAUUGAUGUUAAGAAAAAUAUAAAUUGUAUUAUUAUAAUCUCUUGUGAAUAUUACAAUUUAGAAGACCCUAUUCAUUUAGCAAGAAUUCUGUGAGUUCUGUGAAUUUCUUCCAAGCAAUCACUUAAUCUUCCCCUUCAAAGGUUCUGAACAACCCAAAUUAAAUCUUUUGAUGCCAUCAGAUCAAAGGAUAUUGGAACUCGAGAAGGAGUGCAAACCGAAGCAUUUUUCGACGAACAGUUCUUUGAUCAGUCAUUCCAGAGAUACUGGAUUGAGUACUCAUGAUAUUGCUACUGAGGGAGAUAUUGAAAGCAAGAAGCCAUCUGAAGACCUUGAUGGUCUUUCAUUUAGUCCAGAUUUUCAGAUUUUGAUUCAUUGUGGAGCUAUUGAAUUAAGUAUAUGCAAUCUGAUUAUUUUAUAGUCAAACUUAGUGCAAUUUAAUCCUCUUCUUCCAAUUCAGUAUUUAGUCCAUGGAAGAAGAGUUU
rnacentral:lncRNA from 1 species